rnacentral:tRNA from 1 species
GCACGUGGCUACGAACCACGGUGUCGGGGGUUCGAAUCCCUCCUCGCCCAGGACCCAAGCAAAAGGGAAGGUCU